rnacentral:lncRNA from 1 species
AAAUGACAACAGACAAAAGAUGUCAACAAAGAUUAGGAAAGCAGAUGAGUGAUACCUGAUUUAGCAGUAUGAAUGAGGUUGAAACCCAAGACUGUGGGUGGAGAGCCAACCUCUCUGCAGACCUCCAGAAAGCCACAGGAAUCUGUAUGGAGCAGAACCCUCUGAGAGAGAAGGCGUGAAGUGGCGCUGGCAUUCAGAGGACUGUGGGAGAGACUUUACAACUUGGACUCCCAGAUCACCUCCCUCACCCCCCAGAGCUGGGCAGCCCUCUUUUCCCAACCCCACAGAAGAUCAGAGAUAUAUUUACUGAUGUUUUCCAUUUAAUCGAGAUAAAUGGAUUUUUUAAAAAAAGAGAGAACAAAGAAAUAAACAAGAACAAGAGAGGACCUAAUCCUGAAGCUUCUGCUGUGGACUGGAUAAAUUUUGAAGUCAAUUUACUCAAGCAUUUGGAGACCUCUAAAAAUGCAGCACGCGGAGCAGAAGAAAGAUUAGACAAAAUCUUCCUACAGGAAAUCAGACUGCACUCAGUGAGGAAGGCAUUCAACAUACACAGGGGAGAGUCUCAAAGGUCUGCCAGCCCUGUGUUAGGAAAUGACAUAUGUUAUAUGUAUAGGAUGCUUAUACCUCAAAAUUGGUGUUUUUGAAUAUGAUUGAGUUAAUUGAUACAUGUAUAUCAGAAAAAUCGUAUAUACACAAUUUUUAUGAAUAGAUUUAUUUUUAAUGAUGUAAAAAAGAUACAUUUUUCAAAGCCAAAGGUGAUCUUUUUUGUAAUGUGAGAAUGAUUAUUUAAUUUUCUGUGUUUUAAAAAAUUGGAUAUGUUCUAUAACAGGCUCUCCCAGAAGGAAGCAACUAUUAAUUUUAAUGCAUACUAUGUAAGAUAUACUAAAAUAUAUAAAAGCUUGCAAAUGAAAAUAUACAUUUCUUGGAUAAAUGUCAUAUUUUUUAUUUAACAUGAAAUUUAUGUUUUACUAACUAAAAACGUAUUUACAACAGCACAAACCCCAUGCAAUCCUCAGAAUUUUAAAUCUACAACGUAUUUGAAUAUUCAAAGUUCAACUUAUUUAAAGUUUAACAAUUAAAAUUUAUUGUUAAACUCUUGAGUUAGAGGCUAUAAACGAUAUGCUAUUACAAGGCUUCAAUUUGUUCUGA